GGCCAUAAUGAAAUUAAGAGAGAUAUCAACGGAAUCCGACCUGUUUACCAGUUGCUCAAUGAUUUCAAGAUUUAUCGUUGUGGAAAUAUGAUCCAGCAAAAGCAGUUCUUGCCGAUUUUUUAUAAUCCGCUGUUUAGAACUUCUCAGCUAUUGCGUCGUUCAACCAGAGACUGCAAAGAGGUGAAGGAUCCAGAGGAAAUGAUGGCUGGUCUUCAUGAUAUUCGUAGCAGCAAUAAAUAAAGCUUCUGCCGGAUCUUGACUUUUAUUGAUAGGCAAAGUUCAAGGUACAUCCUAAAGGAAGUGAUAAAAUCAUAAAUAAAUAUAUUCACGUCUUAUAUACACAGACACAUACA